GCCUGGGUGGCUCAGUCGGUUAAGCGUCCGACUUCGGCUCAGGUCAUGAUCUCACGGCUUGUGGGUUCGAGCCCCGCAUCGGGCU
rnacentral:tRNA from 1 species